rnacentral:misc_RNA from 1 species
GCUUUCUAAACAACCAACAAGUCUUCAAUAAGAGCAAGCUAAGAUCAGUAAGUGUAGACACUAUAUUUUGUCUGGGUGCUUUCUCAAAUUGUAAUUAAAAAUAAUAAGAAAUAAAUUUCGAUUUAUUUUCCUAUAUGUUAGUUCAAAUUUCAAUCAAAUUUUUUGGAUUUUAAUUUUAAUUUUAAAAUGACCUUUUAAUUUCAAUUAUCAAGUUUAAUCAAUUCUCAAUUUCAAUUUAACUUUAACUUCGACCCCAAUCAAAUUUUAAUUAAUU